rnacentral:tRNA from 1 species
GGGAAUGUGGCUUAGUGGUAGAGUGCUUGCUUAGCAUGCAUGAAGCCCUGAGUUCAAUUCCUCAGUACCA